rfam:Camelus ferus unplaced genomic scaffold scaffold602, whole genome shotgun sequence.
GGGAGGGUAGUGCUCAGUGGCAGAGCACAUGCCUAGCAGGCACAAGGUCCUGGGUUCCAUCCCCAGUCCUUCCA